UCCGGCUUAUCACCGGCAGUCCCCUUAGAGUGCCCAACUAAGUGAUGGCAACUAAGGGCGAGGGUUGUGCUCGUUGCGGGACUUAACCCAACAUCUCACGGCACGAGCUGACGACAGCCAUGCAGCACCUGUGUUACGGUUCCCUUUCGGGCACACCUCCAUCUCUGGAGGCUUCCGUACAUGUCAAGGGUAGGUAAGGUUUUUCGCGUUGCAUCGAAUUAAUCCACAUAAUCCACCGCUUGUGCGGGCCCCCGUCAAUUCCUUUGAGUUUUAAUCUUGCGACCGUACUCCCCAGGCGGGGUGCUUAAUGCGUUAGCUGCGCCACUGAAAAGCAAGCUUCCCAACGGCUAGCACCCAUAGUUUACGGCGUGGACUAC
rnacentral:misc_RNA from 1 species